AGAGUUUGAUCAUGGCUCAGAAUCAACGCUGGCGGCGUGCCUCAGACAUGCAAGUCGAACGCGAAAGUCCCCUUCGGGGGAUAAGUAGAGUGGCGCACGGGUGAGUAACACGUAGGUAAUCUACCUUCGGGUGGGGAAUAACCCAGGGAAACUUGGGCUAACACCGCAUAAUGCAGCGGCACCACAUGGUGACAGUUGUUAAAGCGGGGGAUUUUCGGACCUCGCGCCUGAAGAGGAGCCUGCGGCAGAUUAGCUAGUUGGUAAGGUAACGGCUUACCAAGGCGACGAUCUGUAGCCGGCCUGAGAGGGCGGUCGGCCACACUGACACUGACAUACGGGUCAGACUCCUACGGGAGGCAGCAGUCGGGAAUUUUGGGCAAUGGGCGAAAGCCUGACCCAGCAACGCCGCGUGAAGGAUGAAAUCCCUCGGGAUGUAAACUUCGCAAGAAUGGGAAGAAUUAGUAGGGGUUAAUACCCCCUAUGAUGACGGUACCAUUUGUAAGCUCCGGCUAACUCCGUGCCAGCAGCCGCGGUAAUACGGGGGGAGCAAGCGUUGUUCGGAUUUACUGGGCGUAAAGGGCGCGUAGGCGGCCAGCACAAGUCGGUUGUGAAAUCUCCGGGCUUAACUCGGAAAGGUCAACCGAUACUGUGCGGCUAGAGUGCGGAAGGGGCAACUGGAAUUCUCGGUGUAGCGGUGAAAUGCGUAGAUAUCGAGAGGAACACCUGCGGCGAAGGCGGGUUGCUGGGCCGACACUGACGCUGAUGCGCGAAAGCCAGGGGAGCGAACGGGAUUAGAUACCCCAGUAGUCC
rnacentral:rRNA from 1 species